UUCUGACACCUUUUGUUACAAAAUUCAGUUGUGCUUCUUUCAUUUUCUGCUCUUUUGACUAGGUUUCUGAAGAAUACCAGUUGCUUAACACCUGAUGUCGUCCAAGGGGCCCAGAAGAAAAUACUGUCCUCAGCAGAAUAUUCAGAAGAAUGGAAAGCAAAAUUACAGACUUCUAACCAUAUAAUUUCCCUGGAUUUCAGAGAAGAGCUGAAAAGAGUCUACAGACAAAUAGAACUAGAGCGGCAGAGAACUGUGUUUCUCACUGAUGAAUCAGAUGUAGUUCAGGUAAAUGUUUUUUUUUUAAUGUGAUACUUGUCCACAUUAAGACACAUACGUGAACUUCCCCGUGUUGUAUUGUCAUAUAACAUGCAACUAUGAGCAUAUUAAGUCCAAACAAAAGGAGAAUAGAAGCUAAAAGUCUGGGUUGUUAG
rnacentral:lncRNA from 1 species